rnacentral:rRNA from 1 species
AUUGAACGCUGGCGGCAGGCCUAACACAUGCAAGUCGAGCGAGCGGAGGACGGGUGAGUAAUGUCUGGGAAACUGACUGAUGGAGGGGGAUAACUACUGGAAACGGUAGCUAAUACCGCAUACCAUCAGAUGUGCCCAGAUGGGAUUAGCUAGGAGGUGGGGUAACGGCUCACCUAGGCGACGCUCCCUAGCUGGUCUGAGAGGAUGACCAGCCACACUGGAACUGAGACACGGUCCAGCCUCCUACGUGAGUCAGCAGUGUGGAAUAUUCCACCAUGGGCGCAAUCCUGAUGCAGCCAUGCCGCGUGUUGGAAGAAGGCCUUCGGGUUGUAAAGCACUUUCAGCGGGGAGGCGUUACCCGCAGAAGAAGCACCGGCUAACUCCGUGCCAGCAGCCGCGGUAAUUC